GAAUUCCUGGUGUAGCGGUGGAAUGCGCAGAUAUCAGGAGGAACACCGAUGGCGAAGGCAGAUCUCUGGGCCGUAACUGACGCUGAGGAGCGAAAGCAUGGGGAGCGAACAGGAUUAGAUACCCUGGUAGUCCAUGCCGUAAACGUUGGGAACUAGAUGUGGGGGCCAUUCCACGGUCUCCGUGUCGCAGCUAACGCAUUAAGUUCCCCGCCUGGGGAGUACGGCCGCAAGGCUAAAACUCAAAGGAAUUGACGGGGGCCCGCACAAGCGGCGGAGCAUGCGGAUUAAUUCGAUGCAACGCGAAGAACCUUACCAAGGCUUGACAUAUACCGGAAACGUCCAGAGAUGGUCGCCCCGCAAGGUCGGUAUACAGGUGGUGCAUGGUUGUCGUCAGCUCGUGUCGUGAGAUGUUGGGUUAAGUCCCGCAACGAGCGCAACCCUCGUUCUAUGUUGCCAGCACGUUAUGGUGGGAACUCAUAGGAGACUGCCGGGGUCAACUCGGAGGAAGGUGGGGAUGACGUCAAAUCAUCAUGCCCCUUAUGUCUUGGGCUUCACGCAUGCUACAAUGGCCGGUACAAAGGGCUGCGAUACCGUAAGGUGGAGCGAAUCCCAAAAAGCCGGUCUCAGUUCGGAUUGAGGUCUGCAACUCGACCUCAUGAAGUCGGAGUCGCUAGUAAUCGCAGAUCAGCAACGCUGCGGUGAAUA
rnacentral:rRNA from 1 species